UACGUAGGGUGCAAGCGUUUGUCCGGAAUUAUUGGGCGUAAAGAGCUCGUAGGCGGUUUGUCGCGUCUGCUGUGAAAACGCGAGGCUCAACCUCGGGCUUGCAGUGGAUACGGGCAGACUAGAGGUAGGUAGGGGAGAAUGGAAUUCCUGGUGUAGCGGUGAAAUGCGCAGAUAUCAGGAGGAACACCGGUGGCGAAGGCGGGUCUCUGGGCCGAUACUGACGCUGAGGAGCGAAAGCGUGGGGGAGCGAACAGG
rnacentral:rRNA from 1 species